GAGUUUGAUCCUGGCUCAGGAUGAACGCUGGCGGCGUGCUUAACACAUGCAAGUCGAACGAUGAACCCCGCUUGCGGGGGGAUUAGUGGCGAACGGGUGAGUAACACGUGAGUAACCUGCCCUUAACUCUGGGAUAAGCCUUGGAAACGGGGUCUAAUACUGGAUAUUGACUUUUCCUCGCAUGAGGAUUGGUUGAAAGAUUUAUUGGUUUUGGAUGGACUCGCGGCCUAUCAGCUUGUUGGUGAGGUAAUGGCUCACCAAGGCGACGACGGGUAGCCGGCCUGAGAGGGUGACCGGCCACACUGGGACUGAGACACGGCCCAGACUCCUACGGGAGGCAGCAGUGGGGAAUAUUGCACAAUGGGCGAAAGCCUGAUGCAGCGACGCCGCGUGAGGGAUGACGGCCUUCGGGUUGUAAACCUCUUUCAGUAGGGAACAAGGCCAGUGUUUAGCUGGUUGAGGGUACUUGCAGAAGAAGCGCCGGCUAACUACGUGCCAGCAGCCGCGGUAAUACGUAGGGCGCAAGCGUUGUCCGGAAUUAUUGGGCGUAAAGAGCUCGUAGGCGGUUUGUCGCGUCUGCCGUGAAAGUCCGGGGCUCAACCCCGGAUCUGCGGUGGGUACGGGCAGACUAGAGUGAUGUAGGGGAGACUGGAAUUCCUGGUGUAGCGGUGAAAUGCGCAGAUAUCAGGAGGAACACCGAUGGCGAAGGCAGGUCUCUGGGCAUUAACUGACGCUGAGGAGCGAAAGCAUGGGGAGCGAACAGGAUUAGAUACCCUGGUAGUCCAUGCCGUAAACGUUGGGCACUAGGUGUGGGGGGACAUUCCACGUUUUCCGCGCCGUCGCUAACGCAUUAAGUGCCCCGCCUGGGGGAGUACGGCCGCAAGGCUAAAACUCAAAGGAAUUUGACAGGGGCCCGCACAAGCGGCGGAGCAUGCGGAUUAAUUUCGAUGCAACGCGAGACCCUUACCCAGGCUUGACAUGAACUGCAAACACCUGGUAAACAGUGCC
rnacentral:rRNA from 1 species